rnacentral:rRNA from 1 species
UACGUAGGUGGCAAGCGUUGUCCGGAAUUAUUGGGCGUAAAGCGCGCGCAGGCGGUCCUUUAAGUCUGAUGUGAAAGCCCACGGCUCAACCGUGGAGGGUCAUUGGAAACUGGGGGACUUGAGUGCAGAAGAGGAAAGCGGAAUUCCACGUGUAGCGGUGAAAUGCGUAGAGAUGUGGAGGAACACCGGUGGCGAAGGCGGCAUCCUGGACCAUGACUGACGCUGAGGAGCGAAAGCCAGGGGAGCAAACGGG